rnacentral:rRNA from 1 species
UACGUAGGGUGCGAGCGUUAAUCGGAAUUACUGGGCAUAAAGCGUGCGCAGGCGGCUUUGCAAGACAGAUGUGAAAUCCCCGGGCUCAACCUGGGAACUGCAUUUGUGACUGCAAGGCUAGAGUACGGCAGAGGGGGAUGGAAUUCCGCGUGUAGCAGUGAAAUGCGUAGAUAUGCGGAGGAACACCAAUGGCGAAGGCAAUCCCCUGGGCCUGUACUGACGCUCAUGCACGAGAGCGUGGGGAGCAAACAGG